UGUUACUUAUAUGGGGGUUGGGGAGAACUUUAGCACUUCAAUUUGCAUUGGUUAAUUUAACAGAAGUGUACAGCAGACAAAAUUGUUUUUUUUUUCGUUUUUCUUUUUGUUUUUGUUUUUGUUCAAAACCAGCCUAGCGACAAAAGAGCAACUAAAACAGGACUCCUGUUUAGGUGGCCGUCACAGAGAAAAUUAAAAUAAAAUUAAGAUUAAAGCACAAAAUCAUAAAGUCCUUUUUUCAAUUUUUGGGGACUUUGCGCAAGUUAUUUUCACAUCAGUAGGUAUUCCCAAAAUAUGAAAGGUUUGCUGAGCAAACAGGCGGUUUGUAAUUAAAAAUUGUUGCGCCAGCUGUGAGAGGAUGGGCGCCACAGGCUUACCUUUGACUGCGACUAAGUUGAUUUUGUCGACCACUCAGCGCAGGCGGAUUUUGCGUGUAUGUACGUACAUACAUGUUAGUACACUUUUAUAUUAACAUGAGCACAUGCACAUGAUAACUGCUAGUAAAAUCCCCUCUGGAAAAUUAGCUAAGCGCUUCGAACAAAUUUGAAAGCAUAAACGACUCUCAAAGUUUCUGCUGUGGUUAUACUUAGUCAGCCAGCCGCGUAACUUUAAAUGUUUUUAGCCUAAGUGGUUGCCCUUUAUUUGAUUAACUGAAAAGCUCGAAACUUUAAAAUUUGUAUUCAAUAAAUUUUAACAAAUCAGUCAAUGCUUCGAGAAUUUACGAGAUUUUAGUGGCUUUUUGACUUUAAAAAAUAUUUCAACGCUUUUUCUCUUGUUUUUAACGAAUUUAAAAAAAAACACUCGGAAUGUUUUAAAUUAAUAAAAAAUUAUGUGCAGGGUUUAGUUGCAACAAAUUUGAGUGCAGUUUUUAAAUUACACAUUUUUUUAAUUCCAAAAAUUUAAGUCCGGAUUUUAAUUAGCUACAAUUAAUGUCCAGUUUUGAAAUAACGAAAAAAUCAUCCUCAGUUGUAAAAUUUUUAAAAAAGCAUAUAUCCACUCUUUGGGCUUUAAACAUUUUUCUAGAAUUUAAUUUCCAAACCAAAAACCAAAAUCGGGGUUUUAAACAGCCAAAACUGUAUGUCAAAUUGUUAAGUUGUAAGAUUACUAUGGCCAAAAUGGUACCAAAAAUUUAUGUUCAGCUUUUAAAGU